rnacentral:ribozyme from 1 species
GUGAAACGGAUGAAAGUGAAAAUGAAGAUUAAUUUUAAUUAAUUUGUGCGAUUUUUCCUACUUCUUCUUCUUCUUCUUCUUAUCUUUCUUCUC